CACGUAGGGGGCAAGCGUUGUCCGGAUUUAUUGGGCGUAAAGAGCUCGUAGGCGGCUUAGUAAGUCGGGUGUGAAACCUCCAGGCUCAACCUGGAGACGCCACCCGAUACUGCUGUGGCUAGAGUCCGGUAGGGGAGCGUGGAAUUCCUGGUGUAGCGGUGAAAUGCGCAGAUAUCGGGAGGAACACCGGUGGCGAAGGCGGGUCUCUGGGCCGAUACUGACGCUGAGGAGCGAAAGCCAGGGGAGCAAACGGG
rnacentral:rRNA from 1 species